rnacentral:tRNA from 1 species
GGCGGCGUAGCUCAGUUGGUUAGAGCGGCGGAUUCAUAGCCCGCAGGUCACUGGUUCGAGUCCAGUCGCCGCUA